UUCUAUCAUAACUUUGUGCAGCACAACAAAACUUGGGUGUUUGUAGAGCUGCAGAAAAUGUUGGCCCUACUUUGAGGGCGGAGAACAUACACCAGCCUAUUUCUGCCAAUUUACACAACGUUUUCAGCAACUGUGGGUCAUCAAUGCAGUCAUGCAUCCAAACAGCUGUUAAUAUGGCUUCUCAUAGCAGAAACGUUGAUGUUUCUGCAAAUAUGUUGUUGGGUCAGAGCUCAAAUAGGGCAAUAACACCUGUAGUAGAUGGAGGGAUGAUUAAAUCAGAACCUACCUACGCUGGAAAUUCUUCUUUUGAGUUUGGUGCACAUAACAAUCUUGUGGAGUCUCGUUCUGCAUUGGCUGAUGCAUCUGUCUCGUCUUUCAGUAGUGUGGAGUCCAAUUCACAACCCGUAAACGAAACUCUGAUUGAUGCUGACACUUCUUCAUUUGGGUUUUUUGGGCAAAUUUCUCAACAUUUUGGUCUCUCAGACCUCGGAGCUGAUUUUGCCAAUGGUUCUGACAUGUACUCUAGCCCACCCUUCAUGACAGCUGAUUCAGGCAACUUUCUUGACCCCAAUGAGAUUGAAAGGUUGAAUACUGCACCAGAAAGCUUGAGAUACCAAGAUCUUGGUGGUGACUAGCUAAUGUGCUAUUUGAAGCGAAAGCAAAGAGGCAGCAGAGAGGCAGAGUUAGAAACUACCAUCACUACAUGAAGUAGUUUCUUGAGAGGACAUUAUAAUCCGUCUGUCACGUUUGCUGCUUUCCGCUGCUUGUGCCAAGUCUUAUAUGAACAUAACUCCGAGAUAGGCAGAAUGAGGACCAAACUUCUUGUAAAUAGCUUCUUAUAGUGGCUUUGGAAUUUUGCACUCUGUGAAGGUAUAGUUUGAUGUACAUCUGAUAGUACUAAGACGUGAACACCGUAUUUUUGUAGAAUGAGUUAAAAACAGGUUAGCAUAAUUGGUUUUUCGAGAGUAAAUUGUUGGAUCUUUUCUUUUCUGGGUUAUGGUUUAAUGGUGGUUAAAGUUGUUAGCAGGGUGCCGUAGCUUUAUUCCCACUGUCCCUUAAAAGGAGAUCGUCUCUUUAUUUUGGUGAUUUCGUUAUUCCUUUUCAAUUUGGCAGCUGAUAGGGUUUCACAUCAAGAUGUUUCUGGGGAUUACCAGAAAUUGCUUCCUUUUCUACCACACACUAGUGAUUUUGGGGAACUGAUUUUGAACCUGAAAAUAUAACCGUUUUCCAUUUUCAUGAGGUUAAGAUUUUUAAUUGUUGUUGGCAACUAGAAGAUCUCAGGAAGCUUGGCUUUAAUUCGUCUCUCCAGAGUGUCUCUUGAACUUUUCCAGUGGCAUCAGUAUUUGUAUGUUGAUAUUAAAUGUUCUCAUCGUAAUCUCAGAUGUUUUGAGUCACAUUAUUGUGUGGCAUCGGAGGCAACAAACAAGCUUUUGUUUUCUCUUGGAUCA